CUGGAUCACAACUUAUUGGGCCUAGAAUGAUCAAAGAAAGGCCCAUUAAGCCAACACUUUGAGGACUAUAAAAGGGGGAGGUUUAGAUGUGAUGGGACAGAUCCCAGAGAGUGAAAAACAUGGUAUUAUUCAGUUACUUUGUAAAGUGCUCUUGAGACUCCACCUAGGACGUUUUACUGAGCAGCUCACCUGUUGUAAUUAACUUGUGUUUACAUACGUGAACA
rnacentral:lncRNA from 1 species